rnacentral:rRNA from 1 species
GACGAACGCUGGCGGCGUGCUUAACACAUGCAAGUCGAACGAAGAGCGAUGGAAGCUUGCUUCUGUCAAUCUUAGUGGCGAACGGGUGAGUAACGCGUAAUCAACCUGCCCUUCAGAGGGGGACAACAGUUGGAAACGGCUGCUAAUACCGCAUACGAUCUAAUCUCGGCAUCGAGGAUAGAUGAAAGGUGGCCUCUACAUGUAAGCUAUCACUGAAGGAGGGGAUUGCGUCUGAUUAGCUAGUUGGAGGGGUAACGGCCCACCAAGGCGAUGAUCAGUAGCCGGUCUGAGAGGAUGAACGGCCACAUUGGGACUGAGACACGGCCCAGACUCCUACGGGAGGCAGCAGUGGGGAAUCUUCCGCAAUGGACGAAAGUCUGACGGAGCAACGCCGCGUGAGUGAUGACGGCCUUCGGGUUGUAAAGCUCUGUUAAUCGGGACGAAAGGCCUUCUUGCGAAUAGUGAGAAGGAUUGACGGUACCGGAAUAGAAAGCCACGGCUAACUACGUG